GAGUUUGAUCGUGGCUCAGAACGAACGCUGGCGGCAGGCUUAACACAUGCAAGUCGAGCGAAGACUUCGGUCUUAGCGGCAGACGGGUGAGUAACGCGUGGGAAUCUACCCAGUCCUUCGGAAUAGCUCCUGGAAACGGGAAUUAAUACCGAAUACGCCCUUUUGGGGAAAGAUUUAUCGGGAUUGGAUGAGCCCGCGUAAGAUUAGCUAGUUGGUGGGGUAAUGGCCUACCAAGGCGACGAUCUUUAGCUGGUCUGAGAGGAUGAUCAGCCACACUGGGACUGAGACACGGCCCAGACUCCUACGGGAGGCAGCAGUGGGGAAUAUUGGACAAUGGGCGCGAAGCCUGAUCCAGCCAUGCCGCGUGAGUGAUGAA
rnacentral:rRNA from 1 species